GGGNNAGGGGCUAUACUGCAAGUCGAACGAACUCUGGUAUUGAUUGGUGCUUGCAUCAUGAUUUACAUUUGAGUGAGUGGCGAACUGGUGAGUAACACGUGGGAAACCUGCCCAGAAGCGGGGGAUAACACCUGGAAACAGAUGCUAAUACCGCAUAACAACUUGGACCGCAUGGUCCGAGCUUGAAAGAUGGCUUCGGCUAUCACUUUUGGAUGGUCCCGCGGCGUAUUAGCUAGAUGGUGGGGUAACGGCUCACCAUGGCAAUGAUACGUAGCCGACCUGAGAGGGUAAUCGGCCACAUUGGGACUGAGACACGGCCCAAACUCCUACGGGAGGCAGCAGUAGGGAAUCUUCCACAAUGGACGAAAGUCUGAUGGAGCAACGCCGCGUGAGUGAAGAAGGGUUUCGGCUCGUAAAACUCUGUUGUUAAAGAAGAACAUAUCUGAGAGUAACUGUUCAGGUAUUGACGGUAUUUAACCAGAAAGCCACGGCUAACUACGUGCCAGCAGCCGCGGUAAUACGUAGGUGGCAAGCGUUGUCCGGAUUUAUUGGGCGUAAAGCGAGCGCAGGCGGUUUUUUAAGUCUGAUGUGAAAGCCUUCGGCUCAACCGAAGAAGUGCAUCGGAAACUGGGAAACUUGAGUGCAGAAGAGGACAGUGGAACUCCAUGUGUAGCGGUGAAAUGCGUAGAUAUAUGGAAGAACACCAGUGGCGAAGGCGGCUGUCUGGUCUGUAACUGACGCUGAGGCUCGAAAGUAUGGGUAGCAAACAGGAUAAAACCCCCCGGGGAAAA
rnacentral:rRNA from 1 species